GGGGGGCAGCUGUGCCGCCGCACCACGCCGGCGUCGCGGUGACGAACGCUGGUGGCGUGACUGGAAAACCAAACGAGAGACUGCAAGCAGCGCCUGGACACCGCCCCGGGACGCGGGGUGAAGGCACGACUGGAGACGGGGCCUCCCGGGCG